rnacentral:lncRNA from 1 species
UUCGGAUACAUAAACUACAUGAGCGGAAGCUAACCUGAAUCCAUAUGUGGAAUUUGAUGAACCUCCUUUGAUGAUUGUCCUUAUGUUCUUAUGAAUUCCUUGAUCCUUCCUUCAAGAUUCUUGAAGUUGUAUGUCACCACAAAUGCCUCACAAGACUCAAAACAAUAUAUGUGAAUUUUUCACAAUAGUAAGGUUAUGACAAUAAUCAAAUUUGGUGUAUGGUUUUCCACGCUAUUUGCAAGACAACAAUGGAUUGUGUACUCUUGAUUUAUUGGAAGGAAGAAGAGCUUGUCUUGCACUAAUGUGGGAACCAUAACCCCCACUUAAUAACA